GACGAACGCUAGCGGCAGGCUUAACACAUGCAAGUCGAGGGGUAUAGGUUUUCGGACCUAGAGACCGGCGCACGGGUGCGUAACGCGUAUGCAAUCUACCUUUCACAGAGGGAUAGCCCAGAGAAAUUUGGAUUAAUACCUCAUAGUAUAGCAGUUUCGCAUGAAACCACUAUUAAAGUUCCAACGGUGAAAGAUGAGCAUGCGUCCCAUUAGCUAGAUGGUAAGGUAACGGCUUACCAUGGCUACGAUGGGUAGGGGUCCUGAGAGGGCGAUCCCCCACACUGGUACUGGGACACGGACCAGACUCCUACGGGAGGCAGCAGGGAGGAAUAUUGGUCAAUGGACGCAAGUCUGAACCAGCCAUGCCGCGUGCAGGAUGACGGUCCUAUGGAUUGUAAACUGCUUUUGUACGAGAAGAAACAACAUUACGUGUAAUGUCUUGACGGUAUCGUAAGAAUAAGGAUCGGCUAACUCCGUGCCAGCCGCCGCCGUAAAAC
rnacentral:rRNA from 1 species